rnacentral:rRNA from 1 species
GACGAACGCUGGCGGCGUGCUUAACACAUGCAAGUCGAACGGUAAGGCCCCUCGGGGUACGCGAGUGGCGAACGGGUGAGUAACACGUGGGUGAUCUGCCCUGCACUUCGGGAUAAGCCUGGGAAACUGGGUCUAAUACCGGAUAGGACCCUGGGAUGCAUGUCCUGGGGUGGAAAGCUUUUGCGGUGUGGGAUGGGCCCGCGGCCUAUCAGCUUGUUGGUGGGGUGAUGGCCUACCAAGGCGACGACGGGUAGCCGGCCUGAGAGGGUGACCGGCCACACUGGGACUGAGAUACGGCCCAGACUCCUACGGGAGGCAGCAGUGGGGAAUAUUGCACAAUGGGCGCAAGCCUGAUGCAGCGACGCCGCGUGAGGGAUGACGGCCUUCGGGUUGUAAACCUCUUUCAGCACCGACGAAGCGCAAGUGACGGUAGGUGCAGAAGAAGGACCGGCCAACUACGUGCCAGCCGCCGCGGUAA